AGAAUGAAUUUCAGAGAGAUUCUAUGAAAUCUUGCAUGAUUUCGGUGCAAAAGGUUAAGAAAAGAGGAGUGUGAAUUAGUAGAACAAGCGAGCUGCCUGAGCACUCCUGUAUGAGAUACGUGUCUCCCACCUAAGUCAGCCAUUGCGAAAUGACUUCGUUCCCUCCUGGAAAGCUGAGUCCCAGGGGCUGGGGUGGGGUGGGGGGUCCCACAGUGGGCGGCUGUGUCAAGCUGCCCUCACCUCGGAUAAACACAAGCACCGUUGCUCUCCUCUGGGUCCUUUGUGUUGAUGCUGUGCUUUGACACGAAAUGCCAGACUGCAUGGAGGGUCUUUAACUGUAAACAGUAUUUUCCAGUGGAGCAAGAAGAUCUGCUGCUGCAGGAGCCCAGAAUUUCCCUAACUUACCAUCACGGUUCUGCCUGUCCCUCAUGAUGGCAGGCGAGCAUGUCACUGCUUAACCUGCAAGUCUGCAAGAGCAGUUGCUGGUACAGGUGCAGGAGCCACCUGAUGCUGUGGCCCCAGAUCACUUGUCCUUGUCACUAGGAGGAUGCCUAUUAAAGAAGCCCUGGACUCUCCAGGAUAAUCAAAUCUUAUGCUUAUCGGAAAGGAGGUGGGGUAGAAACUUAAUUUAUUAGAAACUACUCUGUGCCAGGAACAAUGUUAGUUGCAUUUACAUACAUUUUCUCAUUUAAUCCUCAUUUGAUUAACUUGGAAAGAUCCCAGCUCAAACUGGAUCUGAGGGACGUGGCCUCAAGAUGCGCUGACCAGGAACACAGCCUUCACCGGCUCUGCCCUAAGAUGCCUUUUAUUCAGGAAUCACAGUUUUGCCUCAACAGAAUCAUUCAUUCAUUUCCACUUACUCACUCAGCAGGUAUUUACUAAGUUCUUUCUGCGUGUCAGCUUUCAGGGACCCAACAGCCAGAAAUCUCCAUUCUGAGGGGCUUAUAUUCUAGCCUGGGGAGAAGACACACUAGAUUGGGAAACUGUAUGAUUUGUGCAAGGGUGCUGUGCAAGAUGGAAAAAAUAGAGCAGGAUACUGAGGUGGAGGAGUGUAGGGAUUGGUAGAUUACAAUUUUUUUUUUUGUUUUUUGUUUUUGUUUUUUUGUCUUUUUGCCUUUUCUAGGGCUGCUCCCACAGCAUAUGGAGGUUCCCAGGCUAGGGGUGGAAUCGGAGCUGUAGGGGCCAGCCUACACCACAGCCGCAGCAACACGGAUCUGAGCCGAGUCUGUGACCUACACCACAGCUCACGGCAAUGCCGGACCCUUAACCCACUGAGCGAGGCCAGGGAUCGAACACGCAACCUCAUGGUUCCUAGUCGGAUUUGUUAACCACUGGGCCACGACGGGAACUUCUGGUAGAUUACAAUUUUGACUGGUGGCCAAGGUGCACCUCACUGAGAAAAUGACACUUUUGAAAAGACUUGAGGCGGGUGAGGGAGGAGCCUUUCAAUGCAGAGGCAGAGCACGUCGGCUUGGCCAAGAAAUAGCAAGAGGCCCUGCAGACAGUGUGGACGAGGGGAGAGGUGGAGGCCAGAAGAGGAGAUGGCGCAGGACCUUGUCAGCAGCCGUGAGGACUCUGACGGGGAGGGCCCUGGGGGGUUCUGACUGGGGGAGGGAAAUGAUGGAAUCACGCUGAACAGGCUCACUCUCGGGUCUAUGCUGAUGCGGAUUGUAGAGGGCAGCAGUCAUUUCUUCGGGCUGCCGCAGCAGAGUGCCACAACCUGGGUGCUUUAAAACAAUAGAAGUCUUUUCUCUCACGGUUCUGGAGCCUAGAAGUCUGAAAUCAAAGUGUCAGUAGGGCCAUGCUCCCUCUGAAGGCGCUAGGAAAGAAUCCUUCUUGGCCUCUUCUAGCUCUGCUGGUUCCUGGCAUUCCUUGAUGUUCCUUGGCUUGUGGUAGCAAAAUUCCAGUCUCUGCCCCUGUGUCCACUUGGCCUUCUUCCCUGAAUCUCUGGGUCUCUAGAUCUCCCUCUGCUUAUUAAGGACAGCAGCCAUCGGAUGCAGGCAUGGGAACUGACCUCAUUGUAACUUGAUCACAGCUGCAAAAUCCCUCUUUCCACAUAAUGUCAUCUUCACAGGUACUGGAUGUUAGGACGUCAACCUAUCUUAACAGGAUUCCAAGCCUCAUCAAGGGUCAAGGCUGGAAACAGGGAGUCCAGCUGAGAAGGAAUGGCAGCAAUCAGGUGAGAGAGAUUAGUGGCUUGGAUCUGAGGUGCAAUAGAAGAGUAGCGAGAAGUGGCCCAACCCUGGAUAUUUAAAAAAAAUCAGAGUCCAAAGUAUUUUCUGACAUGUUGGAAAUCAAAAAGAGAGGCAUCAAAGAUAUCUCAGGGUGUUUCACCUGAGCACUUGGAAGGCUGUCAUUAAUUGACAUGGGGAGGCUGUGGGAAGAGCAGGUUUGGGAUGUGAAGGUUAGAUGUUUGACUUUGAACAUGUUUAAUUUAAGAUGUCUCUCAGACAUCUCACUGAAGAUGUUGAGUAGAAAAUUGAAUAUAGAAAUCUGGGGUAAGGGGAAAGAAGCUGAGAAAGAAAAUAUAUAUUCUGUACACCUAAGUCACAUGACAUUGUAAAUCAAAUAUACUUCAAUUAAACAAACAAAAACAAAACAAGAAAGCUAUCUAAAUUUCAAAAAAGUAAAGAGAGGAAAUCCAGGGUAGUUUAGAGAGAGGUCUGAGCUAGAAACGUAAUUGAGAGCCAUGGGCACAGACAGUCAGUUCCCUGUCUUGGCCAUUGUGUGGGCACUAUAGCAGAAAAACAGGGGCUUGAACACUACAACUGGAUAUGUGGAAGUCAUUCUGAUGUCAAAGAGUAAAGUGUUUGCUAGGCUUCUUAUUAGCACAGUCCCCAAAGUCACUCACCCUAUCAUAGGAAGUGACCACAGCAGAUGCAAGUUCCUGGGCCAGGGACUGAAUCAGAGCCACUGAUGUGGCAACUCCAGAUCCUUUACUGUGCUGGGGGUCCAACCCACACCUCUGCAGUGAUCCGAGCUGCUGCAGAGACAGUGCUGGAUCCUUGACUCGCUGUGCCACAUCAGGAAUUCCCAUAAGCUUUUUUAUUUAACACCUACAGUAACCUUCUGAGAUUGGUACUAUUUUUUAUCCCAACUUGCAGAGAAAAGGACCUAAUUUUAGCAUGGUGACUCACCCAGGGACAUCCAGUUUCCAUGUGGCACAGUGGAGACUUAAAGCCACGCCUGUCUGAGGGUAGGAAUGCAGAUAUUGGGCCUUGUGUUAUUUAACCUCACAAGCAUCUGUACUCAUUUCGCAGAACUGUCCCUAGGAAAGGACCUCCCACUUGGGGUACAUUUCUCAAACUACCUCCAAUUUCCUCUAGCUUUAUGUCAGGCCCAACAACUCUGCUUGUUAUUCUUUCUGUUGUUUGCUUGUUUGUUUGUUUUUUAAGGACCACACCUGCGGUAUAUGGAAGUUCCCAGGCUAGUAGUUGAAACAGACCCAUAGCCACAGCAACACCAGAUCCAAGCCGCAUCUGCAAACUACACUGCAGCUCGUGGCAACACUGGACCAGGGCUCGAACCCGCAUCCUCACGGAUACUAGUCAGAUUCUUAACCCACUGAGCCUCAACAGGAAUUCUGACUGCUUGUUAUUCUUAACCAGCGAUGACCCUCAACCCCUCAUCUCUGACAAGAGGCAAGGAUUUCCUAUAGGUGGGUUUAAAGGUUUGUGUUCAGGAAGGAAGGCUUUCCAGCCUUCAGGCAGGUGACAUCAGGCCUGUCAGCCUCCAGCUGAAGCACAGGACUGUGCCUGGCCGCCGUACCUGUCUGUACCCUUGGGGCAGGGGUCAGAACUGCAGCUCCAUGUUCUUUGGAGCCAGGGCAAUUCAGCUGCAAGUGUCCACCAAGCAGCUCCUGGUCUCCUUGCUCCGGACCCCCUAGUCAUGCUGGACACUGCCUUGGUCCUCUGGCAACACCAGGACCUCUAGAGGAGGACAUAGUCGAGUGUCUUAGUCUGACUUUGGCUAUUUUUUUCUCUUCUUUUUUAGGUCCGCACCUGCAGCAUAUGGAUAUUCCCAGGCUGGAGGUCAAAUCGGAGCUGCAGUUGCCGGCCUACACCACAGCCACGGCAACAUGAUCCGAGCUGCAUCUGUGACUUACACCACAGCUUGUAGCAACACUAGAUCCUUAAGCCACUGAGUGAGGCCAGGGGUUGAAUCUGAAUCUGCAUGUAUACUAGUUGGGUUCUUAACCUGCUGAGCCACAAUGGGAACUCCCCUUAUUUGUUUAUUUAUUUGCUUUUUAGGGGGCUGCUGGUUUAUCUUCACUCACCUCUCAGUAUUGGCUGAUCACUUAGUGCUGACAGCAGCCAGCUCCUCCUUACCCUCUGCUCUCACGCCCACUGGCUCUCUGUGCCCCUAGGCUUUUCAUUAUUUUAUUUACUUAUUUAUUUUUGCUUUUUAGGCAUAUGGAAGUUCCCAGGCUAGGGGUCAAAUUGGAGCUACACCUGCCGGCCUACGCCACAGCCACAAGUGGGGAUCUAAGCCACGUCUGCAACCUACAUCACAGCUCACAGCAAUGCCAGAUCCCUGACCCACUGAGCAAGCCCACAGAUCGAACCCGCAUCCUCAUGGAUACUAGUCAGUUUCGUUUCCACUGCACCACGAUGGGAACUCCAGACACUACCUUUUUACAAGGAAGUUGAAGCAUAGAGAGACAUAACUUUCCCAAAGUCAUACAGCUAACGGGUGAGACUGAUGGAGCUUGAACCCAGACCCUCUCCCUCCAGGACCCAGGCUGCCGAUCCGACUGGACUUCACCAUGGACACUCCAUCCCCCAUCCCACUUGGUGUUUUCUUUGUAACGAUAAGUACAAUGGCAAUUAUCACUGCAACCAGAGCCCUCACUACUUGUGCCUAUCACCCCAUCCCAAUUUAGAUAAGGAGGCCCAAGGCAAAUCAGAGCACAUUCCCACUGUUGCUGGAUAUAGUCCACCCCUCCUUCCCUCCCUCCGCCCCCUCCCCCCUUCCUUGCUUCCAAAUAACAGACUUGGAACAAGAUGGCAGCCUCACAGAAGUGGGUCAUGGGGAUUGUGUCACACAGCAAGCACAAGGUCAGCUUUGGCUUCUGCUCGCUGAACAACUACUCCUGGUCUGGGUGACUUAGCAGUGACAGACCCUGGUAAACACACUGUCAGAGGACACCCAGUGAUGAUUUUCUAACUUCAUUCCUUUGCAAUUUCUUAGGAAAAGUUGGCUAGAAGGGUCCUUGGCUAGAAGUUGACUUCACUCCUGUGGAAUUUCUUAGGAAAGUUGGCUAGAACGACCCAUCACAGUGUCCAGAAGGGUCCUUGGCACUUCUGCGCUGGCUGGUCAACACAGGACGGAGGUGGCAAAAGGGAAGGGAUGUGAGGUACAUCCAGAUGGCUUAUGAUUCAAGACCGUUGUUUUAUCCAUUUUAGUUUCUAUAUAUAACCAAUUUAUACGGGAGUCUAAAAUCAUGUGUCUAAAACAUAAUAUAGUCUUAUUUUUCCUAGUAAUUUUGCCCAGCUGGCGUUUUCCCAACACCAGCUUCUGUGCACUUGGCUUUCCUAGGUGAGGAAGGGGCUCUAUGUGCUCCGCUGAAGCCAUGCAGGGUUCUUCGAGAUGAGAGGCAGUCAUAAUGUUCCCUUUCCUUUCUUCUGAAAUUCUGAGUGAGAGAAGCAGGUACCCUCAGUGGCUUCACACCUGUGUAGGUGUUAGAUGUGGUUUAGUGCAUCCUCUGCAGAGUAAUCCCUCCCUCUCUGCACCAGGGUCUCCCCAAGAGCAGCAGGGUGACCCUGGGGUGCAAGGUGUCAGUAGCUUCAUCUAUGGGUUGCCAUGGGGCCCAGGAGAGUGACUCCCACUCAGUGUGUCUUCAGCUGCCUUUACAGACUAGCUACCAUGCAGCAGGUGUCAGCAACAUGAAGUGCAGCCAGAAGCAGCCAGAGCACACGGCUGAGAGGGUGGGGCUAAGAAGGGAAUCUGGCUUUUGUGGUUGAGAUUGGACUCGUGAUAAAUGACUAUCUCCGGUGCUUCUCCAGGAAGCUGACAAGUGGGGAGUUUCAUUUUAUUUUUUGUGGUAUCCAAAAGUGUCAUUUCCUACUAGCCAUGCUCAGUACUGCUAUGUUCAAUAGUGGGUCUUGACACAUGGUUUCUUUAUGGAUCUCAUUUUAUUUUUAUUUUAUUUUUGUCUUUUUAGAACCCUACCUGUGGCAUACAGAGGUUCUCAGGCUAGGAGUCGAAUUGGAACUACAGCUGCAGGCCUACACCACAACCACAGCAACGUUGGAUCCAAGCUGCAUCUGCGACCGACACCACAGCUCACAGCAAUGCCAGAUCCUUAACCCACAGAGUGAGGCCAGGGAUCGAACCCACGUCCUCAUGGAUACUAGUCAGAUUCAUUAACUGCUGAGCCACAAGGGGAACUCCUGACACAUGGUUUUCAAAGGGACUACAGCUAUAGGUUCUUAAAUAAGGGCUAAGUGAGUUUUAAGAAUGACAAAUCACUUAUAAGCAUAUUCACGGUCCAGAAAGAAACACAGAGAAAAGUAUUAAUAUCUCUAUCCCAAUGAUAAUAAAUAUAACCCUCAUUUAGAGAUGCCCUUGCUUCCAUGGUGGAGGGUCUUCAGGGAGUGGUUGGGAUGCUGUACAUUCUACUUAAUUUGAGGCUACUGUCUGCACAUGGAGCCCACAGAGCUCAUCUCUUGAGAGCAUUUUAUUACCUUUAAAAAUUGAGACAUAAUUCACACACCAUAAAAUUCACCAUUUGAAAGUAGACAAUUCAGUUCUUGUAUAACUGAGUCACUUUGUUGUACAGGAGAAAUUAUCUCAACAUUGUAAAUCAACUAUACUUUAAUAAAACUUUAAAAAUGAAAAAAAAAAAAAAACCCACCCAAUUUCAGAGUUCUUGCUGUGGCAAAAUGAGACUGGCGGCAUGUGGGCGGUAUCAGUACCAGGAUGCAGGUUCGAUCCC
rnacentral:lncRNA from 1 species